UGCAGUAACGGCACGUUUGUGUACGGAUACAGGGUGUUCAUAGAUGGGGACUUCCACAAAUCUGUCAUGAGCUCAGCGUGCACCAAGUGUAUUGUAGAGAAUGUCGACCUAAGUGUCCCGGUCCAUAUCAGUGUCCAAACGUUGGGAUCUAAUGGUCUGAGUUCAAACAGCGUCCACAUCAUGUACAGGACCUCAGUCAGGGCAGACCAGCACUGACUGACUACAACAUCUCACACUGUGGUUUAGAUCAACAAUGUCGCUGUACAGUUUUGACACCUUCUCAGUGAAAACCUUCCUCACCAGGCCGAGGUGUGAAUGCCAUCUAUAGCUAUCUAUAGCAACCCUCUGAGGGACCGUCCUAACUUCCACCUCAGCGGAGACACCGUCACACUGCUGGAAUACGCUCUCCACGUGAGGCUCAGGUCAACCAAUCAGAAAAGCUCAGCUCAUGUGGUCAUUACCUAUGAGCAUGUAGUGACCUGCAACUAGCCACUAAACCUCAAAAUGAUUAACUGAAGAUGUCAAACUAAACACCGCAUAAGAUUCCUGGCUCUGCGCUGAGAGUUAAUCUGCAUGUAAAAGCAUGUGAGGAUUGGCCCCAUCCUUGUUGGAAGAACUUCCUGUUUCAGAGUCCCACCCACUGGAUUCACCUCAUGAAUGCCAGGUGAAAGGCCAGAGCGGCUGCCAAUCAAACAAGUCUGAAAAACAACUGCAAGCAAAUGUUGAUAAAGCCAAGCUCAGUCACACUGUCAAAAGCUGCCUGUGACCCCUACAUUUACUAACACAGGAGGGACAUCUGCAUCUGCUGCACACUUUUACACUGUGUUAAACUCCGACAGAUUGUGUGUCACAUUGCUUCAUUGAAGAUCCCCACUGCUGCCUCUCUGGACUCUGUGACGUGAACAGCCGGCCGAUGGGACAUUUACUGUCUGAAAAGUGUUUUUUAAAGCAACACUUGCUGUAUAAUGUGCCGACACAACAUUUACCCGCGGGUCAUCUUACUUGAUUUUUACACAUGAAGCCAAAUAUGAGAAAAGAAGAUUCACUCCAAAGACUGAUCUGUUUCCUACUCCUCAUAGGUCUACGUGAUUUCUUUAAACACAAAAGCCAGAUGUUAUUUUAGUUUUAAAAUUUGCACACAAUCAUUAAUUAAAAAAAAGAGAAUACCACUGAUAUUUUUUGUAGAGAAUAUUAUAAAAAAUAUGCCAAUGGUGUAUUCAAGAUUAUACCACAUAUGUCUUUUUGUAUGAGUGACACUUUGUCUUUCAUACCUAAUCGAUGUCAUGUUUGCACGCUCACAUUGACUUUUGUUUUAUACAAAGUUCACAACACACACGUGGUGUUCUUUUGCUACUUACUGUAUGUACGAGUGUGGAGUGACCAUGGUGCAGCAAAUGUAUUUUUCUAUCAGUAAUUGAUAAUAUUGAUUUCCCAUUUAUUGCUUUCAACUGUAUAGAGAAUAAAUGUUUAUAUGAUAUUAACUGUCA